GAUGAAGAACGCAGCGAAAUGCGAUAAGUAGUGUGAAUUGCAGAAUUCCGUGAAUCAUCGAAUCUUUGAACGCACAUUGCGCCUUCUGGUAUUCCGGAAGGCAUGUCUGUUCGAGAGUCAUUAACAACCGUUUCGAUCCCUUUCUUUCAGAAAUUACAAAGAGGAAAAGGGUUUGGUUAUGGUGGAGGAGGGAAAGGGAGCGUUUAGCCUGUAAAAAAAGAGGCUGUGUUCCGCCUCCCCCCCAAAAUUGUACAGGCGGUCGUGUGCGCCCACGCAUCGAGGUGUUGUAAAAGCUGCCACGGCACUUUUCACCUGUGCAGUGCGAGAUUGGCCAGCCGGUUUAAAAACCCCUCCAAACAAUCAAAGGUUGACCUCGGAUCAGGUAGGGAUACCCGCUGAACUUAAGCAUAUCAAUAAGCGGAGGA
rnacentral:misc_RNA from 1 species